rnacentral:rRNA from 1 species
CCUACGGGUGGCAGCAGUGGGGAAUAUUGGGCAAUGGGCGCAAGCCUGACCCAGCAACGCCGCGUGAAGGAAGAAGGCUUUCGGGUUGUAAACCUCUUUUAAGAGGGAAGAGCAGCAGACAGUACCUCUUGAAUAAGCCGCGGCUAACUACGUGCCAGCAGCCGCGGCAAUUCGUAGGUGGCAAGUGUUGCCCGGAUUCACUGGGUGUAAAGGGCGUGUAGCCGGGCUGACAAGUCAGAUGUGAAAUUUCGGGGCUCAACCCCGUACCUGCAUUUGAAACUGUUGGUCUUGAGUAUCGGAGAGGCAGGCGGAAUUCCUAGUGUAGCGGUGAAAUGCGUAGAUAUUAGGAGGAACACCAGUGGCGAAGGCGGCCUGCUGGACGACAACUGACGGUGAGGCGCGAAAGCGUGGGGAGCAAACAGGAUUAGAUACCCUGGUAGUC